rnacentral:tRNA from 1 species
UUUAAUAAAUCAAUAUUUUGAAUUGAAUUGAAAAUUCAAAUAAAUUUUAUUAAUUAUUAAAA